CCAGGAUCCACAGUGGACUGCUCAAUGGAACCUUAAAGUGAACGGAGUUCACAGCAUAUGCUGGGGUGAUGGUCACCUCUUCCAGACAAGGCCUCAGCAACUUCAAAAUGCCCUGCCACCAGCCAAGAACAAGGAAGCUGGCCACUGUAGUCCAUAUAUGGAUGAAGCCUUCUUUGGUUUCAACACCUACACUUUGUGAGCCAGUGAACACCUACCUAUGCAUGCACUGAGGCACGGCAGGCCCAGAGCAUCUCACCUGAAGCACCCUUCUUGCCUAAAUCCAGCUUUCUGUCACACUCUCCCAGAAGGUGCG
rnacentral:lncRNA from 1 species